AGCGAACGCUGGCGGCAGGCCUAACACAUGCAAGUCGAACGAACUCUUCGGAGUUAGUGGCGGACGGGUGAGUAACACGUGGGAACGUGCCUUUUGGUUCGGAAUAACUCAGGGAAACUUGUGCUAAUACCGAAUGUGCCCUUCGGGGGAAAGAUUUAUCGCCAUUAGAGCGGCCCGCGUCUGAUUCGCUAGUUGGUGAGGUAACGGCUCACCAAGGCGACGAUCAGUAGCUGGUCUGAGAGGAUGACCAGCCACACUGGGACUGAGACACGGCCCAGACUCCUACGGGAGGCAGCAGUGGGGAAUCUUGCGCAAUGGGCGAAAGCCUGACGCAGCCAUGCCGCGUGAAUGAUGAAGGUCUUAGGAUUGUAAAAUUCUUUCACCGGGGACGAUAAUGACGGUACCCGGAGAAGAAGCCCCGGCUAACUUCGUG
rnacentral:rRNA from 1 species